CAAAUUGAGAGUUUGAUCCUGGCUCAGGAUGAACGCUGGCGGCGUGCCUAAUACAUGCAAGUCGAACGCUUUGUGGUUCAACUGAUUUGAAGAGCUUGCUCAGAUAUGACGAUGGACAUUGCAAAGAGUGGCGAACGGGUGAGUAACACGUGGGAAACCUACCUCUUAGCAGGGGAUAACAUUUGGAAACAGAUGCUAAUACCGUAUAACAAUAGCAACCGCAUGGUUGCUACUUAAAAGAUGGUUCUGCUAUCACUAAGAGAUGGUCCCGCGGUGCAUUAGUUAGUUGG
rnacentral:rRNA from 1 species